rnacentral:rRNA from 1 species
AACGAACGCUGGCGGCAGGCCUAACACAUGCAAGUCGAACGCCGUAGCAAUACGGAGUGGCAGACGGGUGAGUAACACGUGGGAACGUACCCUUCGGUUCGGAAUAACUCAGGGAAACUUGAGCUAAUACCGGAUACGUCCGAGAGGAGAAAGAUUUAUCGCCGAGGGAUCGGCCCGCGUCUGAUUAGCUUGUUGGUGAGGUAACGGCUCACCAAGGCGACGAUCAGUAGCUGGCUGAGAGGAUGAUCAGCCACAUUGGGACUGAGACACGGCCCAAACUCCUACGGGAGGCAGCAGUGGGGAAUAUUGGACAAUGGGCGCAAGCCUGAUCCAGCCAUGCCGCGUGAGUGAUGAAGGCCCUAGGGUUGUAAAGCUCUUUU